UACGUAGGUCCCGAGCGUUGUCCGGAUUUACUGGGUGUAAAGGGCGAGUAGGCGGGAUUGCAAGUCAGAUGUGGAAACUAUGGGCUCAACCGAUAGAGUGCAUUUGAAACUGCAGUUCUUGAGUGAUGGAGAGGCAGGCGGAAUUCCCGGUGUAGCGGUGGAAUGCGUAGAUAUCGGGAGGAACACCAGUGGCGAAGGCGGCCUGCUGGACAUUAACUGACGCUGAGGUGCGAAAGCGUGGGGAGCAAACAGG
rnacentral:rRNA from 1 species